UUAGCCAAUGAACUAUAAGGUUCAGUGGGUCAGCAGGUCGAAGCUCCCGGCCGUAUAACCAGGAUGUAAGGUACAUGUCUACAGCGCAGCAAGAUGGCGAAUGAAGAGAAAAGGUGGGAUAGGAGAGACAAAUAGGUUCGCAGAAUCAACUUCAUGGCCACUGGAGUCUUUGACAGCUUAGUUACCAGCGCUUGAAGGUGGUGUUGGAGCACGAUUUACCGGCACGUCAGGAACUAUAAAAACUGCAAGUCAACAAAUUACAUUUGAUUAGACCAGAACUGUCGACAAACAUGAAGAAACUGCUGCCACUACAAACAACACUGACAUUCAUUUGCAUCUUAUCUCUACGUGCGUAUGGAAAUGUAACCCAGGUGUCAAAUUCCACAAUUCCAACAACUACUGCCACAUCAUCAGGAACUGCUGAUGAUAUUAACGAAGAUGAACCAUCUGAUGCUAGGUCAUUUAUGACGGAUGGUAUCUGGUCACCAUUACUGGAGGACUUGGCAGUUUCCGUAAUUUCCCGCGACCAGAAAGUAAUGAAGAACAAACCUUAUUUCAUCACACGACCUGAGGACACGCCAGCCGUAGGGGGAAAGAAGGAGGUCACAGAGACAGACCUAUACCUCCUAGGGGCAAUUGAGAAGUUGGUUUACCGAGUAGACUUCAUGGAGAAGCGACUGAGGAGGACAGAAGAGUUGCUCUAUCACGUCAUGGCAAACAGUAAUAAAAACAAUGAACCCUGCCCUACAAAUUUCUCCAGGGUCGGCACUUACUGUUACCACUUCAGUGAGAGAGAGCUGAACUGGAAGUCAUCAGCCUCUAUGUGUAGGGCACUGGGUUCAAGGCUUGCAGAGUUAGAAACUGUUGAAGAAAAUCAAGAUGUCGUAGCUCACAUGCAAGCCACUUCAACACUUCGAGGCAAAGAUUUCUGGACAGGCGGGCUGAAUCCUGGAUUACUCUGGAUCUGGUCAAACAGCGCUCGUCCCGUGGCUUCCAACUACACGGAAAAUCCGUCAAAUAACAACAACAUUAAAGGAAAUGGCCGAUGCUUAAAGCUUGCAUAUAAUCCUACGCUCAGGGGAUAUGAAUACCAGGGAUCGGAAUGUUCUGUUCGAGCCAGUUAUGUUUGCGAGCACGAGGAGAAUUCAACGAGCAGAGCACUUGAAAGAAUUCAAAAAUCUUUACAAGAAAAAAAAAUUCUGCAGUGAAAGGGAAGAGAAUCAGACGUCCCAUCUGUAGUCCAUAUCUUGCCACACACGGUGUAGCAUCACCGGUGUCACUUCAGCAACUGCAGCGGUAAUUCAAUUUCGGAGUUCGGCCACAUUUGCAGAAUUUUCAGGUUAAGAGACUACAACACAAACCUGCUACUUGUUCCUCGAGCAUCGUCAAUCUUGUAUCAAUUUGUGUCUGGAAAUGAUCGAUGUGAUCAAGAAGACAAAGCCGACAUUCAACCGGGUCGAUGGGCGCUUCAGGUUGAGGUGACCUUGGAGGUUCAGAUACAGGAGGACGAGAUGGUUCUACAACAGCAAAAAUAUGUUCCGUUACAUGGCAAUUUACUAACCACAGACAUGAAAACAACAACAAAAAACAAUGCUGUAUGGCACCACAUAUGAUUUUCAAAUAUCCUGUGAAAGAAGCAAGAUAUAAGCUUGAAUUGUACACAGAAGUUGCAAAAGAGCAAACAUGGCAAUGUUUUGUAUUAAUAUGAGAACAUCUAUAUUAUCCUUUACAAAUGAAUAUAAAAUAUAUCUCCAUACCAAUGUAAA